GUGGGAUCACGAUCAGUAGAAUGGUAGAAUGCUGACGUCACAAAAAUAAUUCUACAAUCGACAAUUUUGGUAUCACGUUAACACGCUUGGGAAAGUAGAAUCGGUGCUCGGCAAUGUUCGGAUAUUCUACUAGCCAUGUUAAAAAUAUCGCUUCUUCUUCUUAAAAAUAUUGCUGUUUGAUGUGUGGUUGUCUUUAUUUUGUGGUGGUUGUAUUCAAAAAGCUAACCUAAAGAAAGAUUAUAAUUUGUGAUUAUUUUCAAUUUGUAUAUUUUAAUGUUUGAAACUAUUUUAUUAGAAAUCACUAAAUUUUUAAAUUUUACCUGUGACUAGAGAACAUUGUUAUAUUAAGGUAUUUUUAUGUAGGUAUUUUUUCUAUAAAUUCCUGUUACUGUAAAGGAAAAAUAACACAUUAAUAAGUUGUAGGUUCAUAUCAUUAUUAUUAAUAUAUUUUGAUGUUUAUAUUAAAUACCGAUAUAGUUCGACGUUCAGAUGCUUCCUGCUCGGAUACUUGGUCAUAUACAAAGAAAUGAGCAAUUAAGAAAUGAAAUAAAUAGGUAUAAUAUAGAGGAGAAUAAUGAGAAGGGAAAGUGAUGCAUUUACUUUAGGAGUUUGUAGAUCUAUUUAUAUCAACAACAGACAUAGUGAACUAUUUAAUUAUUAAUUAUUAUUAAUAUAUUUUGAUGUUUAUAUUAAAUACUGAUAUAGUUCGACGUUUAGAUGCUUCCUGCUCAUAUACAAAGAAAUGAGCAAUUAAGAAACGAAAUAAAUAGGUAUAAUAUAGAGGAGAAUAAUGAGAAGGGAAAGUGAUGCAUUUACUUUAGGAGUUUGUAGAUUUAUUUAUAUUAACAACAGACAUGGUGAACUAUUUUUUUGAGAGGCUCAGUACCUCAUAAUAUGUGAUAAUCCGUUCAUCCAAGCAGUGUUGAGCCUUCACUGUAAAUUUUUACCUCACUUAUUUUUAUGCAAUAAGUUCCUAUCAAAGAGUAGUCGGUCAGAGCUAUCAGUUAUUUUUCGUCCGCUAUAACUUUUCCCACGUGUAGCGAUUCAUUUUCAAACAAAUUAAGUCAAAACAUAAAGUGAAAUGAACGUUGAUGUGUAUAUACAUUUUGUAUACUAAUAUACUAAACACAUCGGCGUACGUUUCACUUUAUGCCUAUAUAUAACUACUAUAUCAAUUGCCUAAAAUACUGUUAGCAACUGUUUAAAUGAUGUAACAAAUUUAACAAUUGAACAUCUAAGUGAAGAGUCGAUUAUCUUUCCUACUACAUUCGUUCAAAAAGAGAAUUUUAAAAGAAAAUUUAUGCAGAAGUUUAACUUUCCUGGCUGUGUAGGGGCCAUAGUUUGCACACAUGUUGCUAUAAUUGCUCCAACGGAACGGGAACAUAACUAUCUUAAUAGAAAAGUUAUCUUUCUAAAAAUGUAGAAAUUGUAACACUCGUUAUACAGGGUGUCCCGAAAAGAUUGGUCAUAAAUUAUACCACACAUUCUGGGGCCAAAAAUAGUUCGAUUUAACCUAACUUACCUUAGUACAAAUGUGCUCAUAAAAAAAGUUACAGCCCUUUGAAGUUACAAAAUGAAAAUCGAUUUUUUUCAAUAUAUCGAAAACUAUUACAGAUUUUUUAUUGAAAAUGGAUGUGUAUCACUCUUAUGACAGGAACAUCUUAAAACAAAAUUAUAGUGAAAUUUGUCCACCCCAUAAAAAUUUUAUGGGGGUUUUGUUCCCUUUAACCCCCCCAAACUUUUGUGUACGUUUCAAAUAAUUCAUUGUUGUGGUACCAUUAGUUAAACACAACGUUUUUAAAACUUUUUUGCCUCUUGGUAUUUUUUCGAUAAGACAGUUUUCAUCGAGAUGCGGCUUCUUUUAUAAUAUGUUUACAUAAAAAUUUUAUGGGGGUUUUGUUCCUUUAAACCCCCCAAAUGUUUGUGCACGUUACAAUUAAGCUAUUAUUAUGGUACCAUUAGUUAAACACAGUGUUUUUAAAACUUUUUUGCCUCUUAGUCUUUUUUUGAUAAGUCACCUUUUAUCGAGAUGUGGCUUCUUUUUCAAAAUAUACCUAAAAAUGUAAAUUAUAAAUAAAUUUUCAAAUUAUUAACAGGACUGUAUAAUCGUACUUAACCAUAUACAAAUAUGUGGUGGAUUCGACAAAUAUUUAAAAUAUCUCAAUAAACACUGGCUUAUCGAAAAAUGACUAAGAGUCAAAAAAGUUUUAAAAACAUUGUGUUUAACUAAUGGUGCCACAAUAAUAAUUUAAUUGGAACGUACACAAAAGUUUGGGGGGGUUUAAGGGAACAAAACCCCCACAAAAUUUUAAUGGGGUGCACAAAUUUCAUUUUAUUUUUUUUUUAAGAUGAUGCUGCCAUAAUAAUGCCACAUGUUUAUUUCCAAUAAAAAAUGUCUAAUAGUUUUCGAUAUAUGAAAAAAAAUCGAUUUUAAUUUUAUAACUUUAAAGGGCUGUAACUUUUUUUGUGUGCACUAUUGUAUAUAGGUAAGUGAGGUUAAAUCAACUUAUUUUUGACCCUAGAAUCUGUGGUAUAAUUUAUGACCAAUCUUUUCGGGACACCCUGUAUAACACUACUUGUAAUAUUAUAUUAUGUACUAUAUGCUGCCAAUAAUCAAUUUAUAAAAAUAAUGUAUUAUCACAUAAUAUAUUAUAUUGCAAAUAUCACAAAAAUUUGUAGUAUUUGUUGAUAUUUGUGUUGAAAAAACUUUGACUAACAAAAUAAAGAAUAAGUAAAAAAUUACAAUCUUUUAGGCAUGUGAUCCAGACUUAAAAAUUUUAAACAUCGAUGCUAGAUGGGGAGGUGCAACACAUGAUGUGGAGAAACUCAAAUGUAAAACUUUUUUGCAGCAGAUCGUUUAAAAUAGAGAUCAAAGCAUUUUCCAUUUCUAUUCUGGCAAAGAUUACUUUCACUUCUUAGUUAUCUUUGCUGGACAGUGAAGCUUUAUAUCUUAUUAUGAAGUAUUUUGAACAUAAAACUUUUGUUUUAUGGAUGCAUUGAUCAAAUAUCUUAAAGAAAUGUUUAUUUAAAGUUUCAUAAUAAUUUUUAUAAGUAGUUUAAUAUUAUUACUUAUUUUUGCACUAGAAAUAAUAAUUUUAAAGCUUCAUUGACUAAUGGCCAGUUUCACCAAAGACGAAUAGUAGUUUAUUCGAUGAAUAAAAUUAUUCAACUGAUAAAACUGACACAACUAUGUUUCUCUAACGUCAAAUAGUACUUAUUUUAUUUAUUCAUCAAAUAAAUAUUUACUCUUCAAAUGAAUUGACAAGUUAAUCUCACUUUAAAUAUCUAUAUAAAGAAAAUUUGUCAAUUUAAUUUUAAGAUUAAUUAUUUAUAUGGGAAAUAAGCCACAAUUAAAAUGAAAAAAAUAAUUUUAUUAACAUUUCGACGCCCAAAUCGGGUGCCGUUGUCAAAAUACAAAAUAUUACAGUAAUAUUUUGUAUUUUGACAACGGCACCCGAUUUGGGCGUCGAAACGUUAAUAAAAUUAUUUUUUUCAUUUUAAUUGUGGCUUAUUUCCCAUAUAAAUAAUUAAUCAUAAAAAUGCCACAAGGAAAUAGCUUCAGAACAACAUUUAAUUUCAAAUUAUCAAACUAUUCACUGAUUUAUUUGUUGUUAAUGAAACUGGCCAUAGAGAGUAAAAUUGCAUUAUUUUUCAAUUUACAUAAAUUUGUGGUUUAUUUGUGAUUUAUUCUUUGUUCUUAUUUUAGUCUUGGUAUGAAACAAUGUUAAGACAAUACUGUGUGCUUUUUCAGUCCUAUGAAAGAAAAUGUUUUGGAUGUAACAGAGAAGUACUACAACUUUGUUAUGAAGAUUUGUCUUUAUGUUAUUUUUAUAAUGUUCAUGGAUUAUAUUUGUUUUUAUGUUUUCUUCAGUUUAAAUAAAGUUUAUGUUUUACCCA